UACGUAGGGUGCAAGCGUUAAUCGGAAUUACUGGGCGUAAAGCGUGCGCAGGCGGUUCUAUAAGACAGAUGUGAAAUCCCCGGGCUCAACCUGGGAACUGCAUUUGUGACUGUAGAGCUGGAGUACGGCAGAGGGGGAUGGAAUUCCGUGUGUAGCAGUGAAAUGCGUAGAUAUGCGGAGGAACACCGAUGGCGAAGGCAGCCCCCUGGGAUAACACUGACGCUCAUGCACGAAAGCGUGGGGAGCAAACAGG
rnacentral:rRNA from 1 species